rfam:Perkinsus marinus ATCC 50983 gcontig_1104296703482, whole genome shotgun sequence.
CAACCCUACUUCAAGUAGACGGAUUUUCAUUUACCGUCAAGUUGACGGUGAAUGACAAUGUGUUGUUUGUUGUGCUCGGAUUUUGUACUGCUAUCCCUCCGCUGAUUCAGUAUCAGUCGCAUCAAGUUGUGACAUGGUGGUGGCUUCUCCCAACCUCAUCGUACUGUUAUGAUAGCAGUGCUAUCUCUUGUGGACCUCUUCUGGACCCUUGAGAGCCGUCACCACAAUCAUCUGAAAUUCUGGUGAUGGGAGUGACAGAACCGUUGGCUUUUCUUUUUAACAGUUCGACUUACCCUGGAAUCAUAUCAUCUGGAGAUAGGGUUUUCGAACUGAAAUAGCACAUUGUCUAACAGGGUGUCUGGAGUGUUCUCGCUGGCCCUUGAAAAUCCAAGGGAUAGAUUUAUUCGCACUCUCUGAUCGUACCCAUAACCGCAUCACGUCUCCAAGGUUAGAAGCCUCUGGUCCGUGGGACAAAGUAGAUAAGGGAAGUCGGCAAAAUAUGUUCGUAACUUCUGGAAAAGGACUGGCUCUGAGG